rnacentral:lncRNA from 10 species
AAUCCUCAUAUUCUUACAUAUGAAAAUAUACCUGGACAGAAAGAAACAAAGGGACUUGUGACAAGGAUUACAUUAACCUGGUGUAGUAAGCAGUGACCUCUGCAAGGAAGUGGACCAAAGGGCAAGCUGGCUUAAUGAUUGCUGCUGAUUGUGCUGCAAGCCUAGUUGAAAUUUAUUUAUUCCCUUAACCAAUUUUAUAAAAAUUCUGUGGAGACAGUUUCAAAAGCUCUUUAAGAAACAAAUUGGAAUUAAUCAUGUAAGUACAUGUCUUCCAUAGGUCAACAAAGGAUUUUUGCAGGGACUGACUAAGAAUAAUUCUAACUUCAUGUAUCUGUUUAAAAUUCCUGUUUGUUUUGCUUUUAACCAAUUUCUGCAUGCUUUCCAUACUGUAGCCAGUUCAAACUUCCUACAGCCAAAUUUGGAUAUCAUGUUGAAUGAUUCCCUUUGGUCUGUUGAAAAAAGUUCUUUGCCCUAACAUUCAAGAUCUUUUACAAUUUGCCUUUGAUG